CCCUUAGAUGUCCGGGGCUGCACGCGCGCUACACUGAAUGAAUCAGCGUGCUAGAAAACCUUGUUUGACAUGGCUAGGUAACCCAUUGAAAAUCAUUCGUGAUUGGGAUCGGGACUUGCAAAUGUGUCCCUUGAACGAGGAAUUCCCAGUAAGUGCGGGUCAUCAGCUCGCGUUGAUUACGUCCCUGCCCUUUGUACACACCGCCCGUCGCUCCUACCGAUUGAAUGUGUUGGUGAGGAGCUCGGAUUGGCAGCAGUUGGUGGUUCGCCAUCGGCUAUUGCUGAGAAGUCCUCCAAACCGCCCCAUUUAGAGGAAGGAGAAGUCGUAACA
rnacentral:rRNA from 1 species